rnacentral:rRNA from 1 species
GACGAACGCUGGCGGCGUGCUUAACACAUGCAAGUCGAACGGAAAGGCCCUGCUUUUGUGGGGUGCUCGAGUGGCGAACGGGUGAGUAACACGUGAGUAACCUGCCCUUGACUUUGGGAUAACUUCAGGAAACUGGGGCUAAUACCGGAUAGGAGCUCCUGCUGCAUGGUGGGGGUUGGAAAGUUUCGGCGGUUGGGGAUGGACUCGCGGCUUAUCAGCUUGUUGGUGGGGUAGUGGCUUACCAAGGCUUUGACGGGUAGCCGGCCUGAGAGGGUGACCGGCCACAUUGGGACUGAGAUACGGCCCAGACUCCUACGGGAGGCAGCAGUGGGGAAUAUUGCACAAUGGGCGGAAGCGUGAUGCAGCAACGCCGCGUGCGGGAUGACGGCCUUCGGGUUGUAAACCGCUUUCGCCUGUGACGAAGCGGGAGUGACGGUAAUGGGUAAAGAAGCACCGGCUAACUACGUG